CCUACGGGAGGCAGCAGUGGGGGAUAUUGCACAAUGGGGGAAACCCUGAUGCAGCGACGCCGCGUGUAGGAAGACGGUCCUCUGGAUUGUACACUACUGUCCCCAGGGACGAAGAUGACGGUACCUGGGGAGGAAGCUCCGGCUAACUACGUGCCAGCAGCCGCGGUAAUACGUAGGGAGCGAGCGUUGUCCGGAAGUACUGGGUGUACAGGGAGCGUAGGCGGGGAUGCAAGUUGGGUGUUAAAUCUACCGGCUCAACUGGUAGUCGCACUCAAAACUGCAGCUCUUGAGUGAAGUAGAGGCAGGCGGAAUUCCUAGUGUAGCGGUGAAAUGCGUAGAGAUUAGGAGGAACACCAGUGGCGAAGGCGGGCUGCUGGGCUUUUACUGACGCUGAGGCUCGAAAGUGUGGGGAGCAAACAGGAUUAGAUACCCUGGUAGUC
rnacentral:rRNA from 1 species